CCGUCUGGAGCAGAUCCUGUUUUGGUCCGCAGGGUUGUGACCAGAAAACAAGUCCUGUUGGUCUCCCACCUCAAUCUGACGGAUAUUAUUUUGACACAGUGUUACAUUUCUGGUUCCAGCUAAGAAAGGUGAUGAAAAGUUGCUUUUUAGACAAAAUAAGCCCUUACCCUCAAAGGAAAGUUGCUCCUGAAAUACAAGCAGAAAUCAGUGAUGGAGUCUCACUCUAUCACCCAGCCUGGAGUGCAGUGGCGCGAUCUCAGCUCAACACAACCUCUGCCUCCUGGGUUCAAGCCAUUCUCCUGCCUCAGCCUCUGGAGUAGCUGGGAUUACAGGAGUCCUGGUUGCUUCCUCUGCAAAUCGGUGAUGGCUUAUACAAAGAACAGUAUUAAAGACUCCGCGGCUGGACGCGGUGGGUCGCGCCUGUAAUCCCAGCACUUUGGGAGACCGAGGUGAGUGGAUCGCCUGAGGUCAGGAGUUCA
rnacentral:lncRNA from 1 species